rnacentral:rRNA from 1 species
UACGUAGGGACCAAGCGUUGUUCGGAUUUACUGGGCGUAAAGGGCUCGUAGGCGGCCAACUAAGUCGGACGUGAAAUCCCUCAGCUUAACUGGGGAACUGCGUCCGAUACUGGAUGGCUUGGAUUUGGGAGAGGGAUGCGGAAUUCCAGGUGUAGCGGUGAAAUGCGUAGAUAUCUGGAGGAACACCGGUGGCGAAGGCGGCAUCCUGGACCAAUAUUGACGCUGAGGAGCGAAAGCCAGGGGAGCAAACGGG